AGUGGGACAUGUCCCUAGUCCUUGCUACUAGGGAGUUUGAGGCUAGACGAUCUCUUGAGCUCAGUAAUUCUGAACUAUAGUGGGCUAAGCUGACCUGGUAUCCACAUUCAGUUCAGCAUCACUAUGGUGAGCUUACAGAAAUGAGGAAGGUCACCAGGUUGCCUAAGGAGCAUUGAAAUGGCCCAAGUCAAAAAUGGAAUAGGUGAAAACUUCCAUGCCAAUCAGCAGUGGGGUUGGGCCCAGAGAAUAGUCCCAGCACCCUCAGCCUGGGCAAGAUGGGAAGACCUAUUUUUUU
rnacentral:SRP_RNA from 1 species